GCAUGUGAGGGAGGCAAUGUAGCUGUGGGAUAUUACCUGGCAAUCUCCAGGGUUGAUUGGGCUGAUCUGGCUAGCUAAGCCAGUGGUCCCUUCCUCCUUACUGCUCUGUGUGCAUGCCUCCCCAAGCUACAGCUCAAACACGACCAUCUUACCCAAAGAGAAGACCAUUCUUUGGUCUUCUAAAGCACACAAGUGGCUUACUCCCCCAUUAGAACCUCCGAACAAGCUCUAAAAAUGAUUGCUUCACAACAUCUGGAACUAGAAAUAAACAUGCAAAAUAUACAUUGUCUCCAACGAAAUCUAAAGGAUGUAUUU
rnacentral:snRNA from 1 species